UUCGGCGGCUAUAGCGAGAGGGAAACGCCCGGUCACAUUCCGAACCCGGAAGCUAAGACUCUCAGCGCCGAUGGUACUGCAGGGG
rnacentral:rRNA from 2 species